GGACUGAGGUGCUCAGCCACCUCAGUCCCUGGGUCCUACCCUCCUACUACUUUUUUUCACCUCCAUUUUUUUCCUACCUCAAUUAAAAGGUAUUUGGCAAAAACACAGCAUCAUAGGGAAGCAUGUUAGUGGCCAGUCAUACCGCCCCAAGUCCUGCUGCCGGGGCAGUACAUGUGCCUGGGCUCUCCCCGGUACUUGUCCGGCACUCUGACCUCCAGCCUGGCCAGGCCCCGGGCUUGCAGGGAGGAGCUGAGCUGGUGGGAAUGAAAGCCGUGCCUGGCAAGCCUCCAGGCUCGGCUCCCUACCUCCCCAGCGGGGCAUUUGCUCAAACCCCUGGGGGAAGCGGACAGAGGCCUGUUAACCGCUGCAGGGUGCCCCACUGCUGGGGUGCGUUCCUCACUACGCUCACUUCCUGCCGCUCAGGGGUGCUCCUCCUCCUGUCUCUGCCCGCCGGGCCUCCCCCAGGAUGCAGCCUCCCUCUGUCCUUCUCCAGGCCCGGUGGAGCUGCUCUCUGUCAGCCUCACGGCCCCCCUCCCCGCCCCGUGGGCCGUGGCCUCAUCACACUGUCUUGGGUCCUCUGAACGCCGAUUGUGCCACCAGGCUGCCGACCGGGGUUUGCUGUUGUACUUGGAUCAGCAGAGUUCCUGGCACAAAGUGUCCCAACAAAUGUUCCUGGAAUGAAUGAGUGAGUGAUGGUGAGGCGGAGGCCUGGCUUCGGUGACCUCGGGAGGGCUGCCCUCAGCCGCUCCGCGGCCUUCAUGGUUUCCUCCGUGACUCUCCUUUCCCACCUCGUGUUUCCCCGUCAGCUCAGGGGAAAAUGGAAGUUCCUAUGGCCAGGAUCCUCAGCUGUCCCUAACUACCUGAUGAUGUCACUGUAGCCAAAAUGGCAGGAUGAGUUCCACUGGGAUUUUUGGGCAGUUUGUGGAUCAGAGUAUCAAGGCCACAGGAUGAUAAUGGAAGAAGUGGUACCUUGCUGAUUUUUCCAACAGAAGAAACCUACUUUACUACCCCAGUGGUAGGAAGGAAGAUUUUCUCCUGGCCCAGGAACAGCCCAGCCAAUGAGAAAUUGCCACCACUCAGCCAAUGAGAAGCC